UACGUAGGUGGCAAGCGUUGUCCGGAUUUACUGGGCGUAAAGAGCGCGCAGGCGGUCGUGCAAGUCGCGUGUGAAAGCCCCCGGCUCAACUGGGGAGGGUCACGCGAUACUGAUCGACUCGAAGGCAGGAGAGGGUAGUGGAAUUCCCGGUGUAGUGGUGAAAUGCGUAGAUAUCGGGAGGAACACCAGUGGCGAAGGCGACUACCUGGCCUGUUUCUUGACGCUGAGGCGCGAAAGCUAGGGGAGCAAACGGGG
rnacentral:rRNA from 1 species